GGGAGGUACUGAAAGAACACUGGAAAAGAGCUGGACAGACAUAGUGCACUCUCAUGAGUCUAUGUCAAAAACCCAGCGACACCAGCAGGAGGCGCUGUGGGAGCUUCUGAAUACUGAGCUUACCUACAUCAACAAACUCACUAUUGCCAAAGAACUCGUGAUGGCAGCACUGUCACACUGUCACAGAUAUGGAUUUCUUCAAGAAGUAUG
rnacentral:lncRNA from 1 species